CUGAUUGUGAGAAACCAGUAGAGUGAUAUAUUAAGUAAUGUAGGCAGUUUGUAAUAUUUGAGGUAACGACGUAAAGUAAAGCCGCUGAGUUGAGGAAUAAGAAUCCUUUAAGUGGUAUUAUUUAUCCUGAUAACGUGAUCAUAUGACCUUGAAAUGUGAAGCCCUGCGUCCCUGUUCAGUUCUGGGUUUGUUAAAAAUAUGAAGAAUGAUGGGGAUGUUGUAUUUUUGGCAUAUUGCCCACAGUUUGAUUCUCUAACAAGAUCUUCUUCGGCAUUAAUGGCCGGUAGUCCCGAAUAUAUGUCUAACAUGCUUGAUGAAGAAGAAAAUGGCGUUAAGAGAUUAAUCCAAUCGUUUGAAGACAUACUUAAAAAAAAAUCAAUUAAUGGUAGAGUGUUGCGACUGUCUGGAUCAAGCCCUGGUCAUGCUAUCAUAAAUGCUGCCAAGGAGCAUCAUGUUCAACUAAUUGUAACAGGUUGUAGGGGGGUGGGAAGGAUUAGACGUACCUUGCU